rnacentral:rRNA from 1 species
UAGGGAAUCUUCGGCAAUGGACGAAAGUCUGACCGAGCAACGCCGCGCGAGUGAAGAAGGUUUUCGGAUCGUAAAACUCUGUUGUUAGAGAAGAACAAGGACGUUAGUAACUGAACGUCCCCUGACGGUAUCUAACCAGAAAGCCACGGCUAACUACGUGCCAGCAGCCGCGGUAAUACGUAGGUGGCAAGCGUUGUCCGGAUUUAUUGGGCGUAAAGCGAGCGCAGGCGGUUUCUUAAGUCUGAUGUGAAAGCCCCCGGCUCAACCGGGGAGGGUCAUUGGAAACUGGGAGACUUGAGUGCAGAAGAGGAGAGUGGAAUUCCAUGUGUAGCGGUGAAAUGCGUAGAUAUAUGGAGGAACACCAGUGGCGAAGGCGGCUCUCUGGUAUGUAACUGACGCUGAGGCUCGAAAGCGUGGGGAGCAAACAGG